rnacentral:rRNA from 1 species
UACGUAGGUGGCAAGCGUUAUCCGGAAUUACUGGGCGUAAAGCGCACGCAGGCGGUCUCUUAAGUUUGACGUGAAAGCUCCCGGCUUAACUGGGAGAGGUCGUUGAAUACUGGGAGACUUGAGGCAAUGAGAGGGGUGUAGAAUUCCCGGUGUAGUGGUGGAAUGCGUAGAUAUCGGGGGGAAUACCAGUGGCGAAAGCGGCACCCUAGCGUUAGCCUGACGCUCAUGUGCGAAAGCGUGGGGAGCGAACGGG